rnacentral:rRNA from 1 species
AAUGAACGUUGGCGGCAUGGAUUAGGCAUGCAAGUCGAGCGAGAAGGGUUUUGAAGCUUGCUUUAGAACCCGGAAAGCGGCGCAAGGGAGAGUAACGAGUAGUUAUCUACCCCAAGGCCCGGAAUAGCUGCGGGAAACUGCAGGUAAUGCCGGAUAAUAUCCCCGGAUCAAAGGUGUGAUUCCGCCUUGGGAGGAGACUGCUUUGUACUAGCUAGUUGGUAGGGUAAUGGCCUACCAAGGCUACGAUGCAUAGCGGGCGUGAGAGCGUGGCCCGUCUCACUGGGACUGAAACACUGCCCAGACACCUACGGGUGGCUGCAGUCGAGAAUCUUCGGCAAUGGGCGAAAGCCUGACCGAGCGAUGCCGCGUGCGGGAUGAAGGCCCUCGGGUUGUAAACCGCUGUCGUAGAGGAGAAAGGUCUGAUGAAGAAUCAGAUUUGAUCUAUUCUAGGAGGAAGUCGGGGCUAAGUUCGUGCCAGCAGCCGCCGUAA